GUCUCUCUAAGAGAAUUACAUAUCUGUGAUGGCCCCCUCCCUCUUCUGCAAUUAUUUCCAAGUCACACCUGCCAAGCUGUAGGGAAGCAUUCCCAUUGUUUGUGGGUGAGAACACAGUCAGUCAGCUAUGCAUCGCACUCUUAAAACCCCAGAAGGACUGGGGCACACGGAUGUAAGCUGAACAGAUCUCUCUAGGAAAAGAACUGGUGGAAGAAACACAGAAAUGUGCAUGGAGGAGUACCAUUCUUUCCCCACUCCCUGACAAAGACAUUAGUCAUGGGACAGAGACAGGUUGGAAAGCCCAUCUGAACCAUCUAUGAAUGUAAAGGAUUUGGUACCUAGAAGACAUGGGGUCCACAUCGGUGUCUUAGAGCAGAGAGCUAUAAGACUAGCCUGCAUGGCUGUCCUACCUGUUCUUCACAAUCCCACAGAGCAUAUCCUGAUGGCCAAAACCUCUGUGAUGCACUAUAUAAACAAGCAGGAAGGUGCACAAUCAUCUCCCUUCUGCCUGGAAGCCACCAAGCAUUGGACAUACCACCAACAUGGGAUAAUCCCAAUAGCUCUUCACCUCCCAUUUGUCAGCAACAAGUUAGCAUGCUUCCUGAGCAGAUAGUCAGGCCACCACCUGAUCCCCUUUACAUUGGUUCCUCUGAUCCCCAGGAUGAUUUACAAGUUACAAGGGGACACAUUCACCAUCGUUCUCAUAACUCCAUACAGACUGAGGCAGUUUUGGCCGAUAGACCUACUAAAAAUAUCCAUCUACCUUCUGAGCUAGCUCCAAGACUGUCCUGACCUGAUCUCCCAGCUCCAUAGUCAGACACUCCAUCCAGGCCUGAAAUCCCUGCACCUGAUGGCAUGACUGUUGGCUAAUUAAGUACCACAGAUAGACACUGCUCCUGGAAGAUCCAGGAAAUCCUGACACAGAUGUUUUCCUACUUUACCAGAAGAACAUAAUCCUAUACAUGGAAGAAGUUCUUGAUUAUGGGCAAUCCAACAUGGUCUAGAUCUGUUCCAGGCCUUGAUACCAAACAUAUUUGACUACUUAUUGCACUUAAACCCUAGCUAUUUGUGGGUGAGGAUAGGGGGUGUUAAUGUUUACAAAGAUCAAAGUAUGUGUCCUGUAUUUUUAUUAUUAUUAAAUAUUUUUAUUUAAAAAGUCAAUGUUUUAUUUUGGCUUGGUUUGACAUUGAACCCCAUCCACCUGAGCUACUGUGGUGUCUCAUGGGAGUUGAGUUUUGCUGCCUUUAUGGGCUGAACUCUCUGGUCAGACUACAUCUCCAAUGAUGCACCAUGAUUAUGGGAUUCCCAUGUUGAAUUAUUGCAGUGCAUCCGGAGGGGUGGGGAACUGCAGUGAAUUAUGGGAGAUGUAGUCCAAAUUAGGAGCCCUACCCAUAGAUGAGAAUGGGGACAGGAAGCACCCAGAGUACAACUCCUGUGAAGCACCAUAGGUACUCAGGCAGUCCAGAUUAAUUCAAACUGACUUAAAGCUAAAUAUUUGGAGUCAGUUUGACAAGCCAAAAUGUUUUGACUCAAGUUGAUCCUACUUGAAGCAAAAUGUUAUCCCAAAGGAAAAAUGAAAAAUUUGGUCAAAAUAACAAAAAACAUUCUUGGAAAAUGUGAUUUUUUUGGAAACUGCAUUUUCAAUUGAAAACAUAUUUUGAUAGAAAACUUUGACCAGCUCUAAUUAGCUGUUUAUUCUGUGAGCUGUUUGGUAAGACAGGAAGAUCUUUCAAUAAAUGAUGAUGAUGAUGAUGAUAAUUUAAAAAAUCCUACCUUGGAACUAAAUGCUGAAUUUCGUUCCAAGGGUAAUAAACAAUAGACAACCACUAUUUGAACAGAGAUUGCUAAAAACCAUGGAAUCUUAGCCAGUGUAUUUGUCAGCCUGAAGGGAUUCACUGAAGUAAACAUCUGAAACAGUAACUGGGUGUAAGAAACAUCCCACUGAUGGAGGUUCCUGAAAAUAAAGUAAAGUUUUUUGCAUGGGGAGGUUUAUAGAAUGCACACUGAAGGUGUAAACAUGAAUACUUUCAAACUCUCUAUUAUGUUUCCAGUAUGUCUUGGUUUCU